ACGUUGGUGGCUUCGAACUUCCCCAGGUCACCGGCUAAAGUGACCCCGCUCAGUUCGAUCUCGAAGGGGGGAGAGAUGUGACGAAGUGGGACUGUUCUUAAUGUUUCCUCUGAAUAGUGUGGGGGUGCCUCAGUUUCCCCUAGGCAGUUCUUAAGUAUCUAGGGGGUGGGGUAAGGGUGUAUGAUCAUUGCAGAGCCCUAGAGGGCAUGUGUGUGCAGGAGUCUGGACACAGAGAAUGGCCGACACCCUGUUUCCUGGCAACUGAUGGCCUGGGCCCUUCCCCCCUGCAAGGUGAGAGCUAAAGGGUUGGAGAACAAAGGAAUCAGGUGACCACCUGGCCCGGGAAAGGAACAAAGCCCAGAGGAGGAGGGGCUGGAGGGGAGUUUCAGUUUGGGGCUGGCUGGGACAUGGAGUGAAGGGCAGACGUGGUAGUCUGGCUCACUGCCCCCCAAAAUGGACCCAGCUGAGGGGUCCCGUUCUCUGCACCUGCAAGCUCUGUUUUAGACCAUGUUCCUGUCGUCUAAUAAACCUUCUGUUUUACUGG